AAGGCGACGAUCCCUAGCUGGUCUGAGAGGAUGACCAGCCACACUGGAACUGAGACACGGUCCAGACUCCUACGGGAGGCAGCAGUGGGGAAUAUUGCACAAUGGGGGAAACCCUGAUGCAGCCAUGCCGCUUGUGUGAAGAAGGCCUUCGGGUUGUAAAGCACUUUCAGCGAGGAGGAAAGGUGGCUAGCUAAUACCUAGUUGCUGUGACGUUACUCGCAGAAGAAGCACCGGCUAACUCCGUGCCAGCAGCCGCGGUAAUACGGAGGGUGCAAGCGUUAAUCGGAAUAACUGGGCGUAAAGCGCACGCAGGCGGUUAGAUAAGUCAGAUGUGAAAGCCCCGGGCUCAACCUGGGAACUGCAUCUGAUACUGGCAAGC
rnacentral:rRNA from 1 species